rnacentral:rRNA from 1 species
UACGUAGGGGGCAAGCGUUGUCCGGAAUCAUUGGGCGUAAAGCGCGCGUAGGCGGCCCGGUAAGUCCGCUCUGAAAGUCCAGGGCUCAACCCUGGAAAGCGGGUGGAUACUGCCGGGCUAGAAUCCGGAAGAGGCGAGUGGAAUUCCUGGUGUAGCGGUGGAAUGCGCAGAUAUCAGGAGGAACACCAGUGGCGAAGGCGACUACCUGGCCUGUUCUUGACGCUGAGGCGCGAAAGCUAGGGGAGCAAACGGG